rnacentral:tRNA from 2 species
GCUUUUCUAGUAUAAUAGUACAAGUGACUUCCAAUCACUAAGUUUCAGUUUAACCCUAAAGAAAAGUA